rfam:Halomonas elongata DSM 2581, complete genome
CACUGUUCUCAGGGCGGGGUGAAAGUCCCCACCGGCGGUGAUGGCGCCCUUCCAUUCAGUGAAAGAGAAGGCGUGCACAAGCCCGCGAGCGCCCGGCAUCGGUACGACGACGAACCGGGGACAGCAGAUUCGGUGAGAUGCCGAAGCCGACGGUGAUAGUCCGGAUGGAAGAGAACGGCA